GACGAACGCUGGCGGCGUGCCUAAUACAUGCAAGUAGAACGCUGAAGCGAGGAGCUUGCUCUUCUUGGAUGAGUUGCGAACGGGUGAGUAACGCGUAGGUAACCUGCCUUGUAGCGGGGGAUAACUAUUGGAAACGAUAGCUAAUACCGCAUAACAAUGGAUGACACAUGUCAUUUAUUUGAAAGGGGCAAUUGCUCCACUACAAGAUGGACCUGCGUUGUAUUAGCUAGUAGGUGAGGUAAUGGCUCACCUAGGCGACGAUACAUAGCCGACCUGAGAGGGUGAUAGGCAAAACUGGGACUGAGACACGGCCCAGACUCCUACGGGAGGCAGCAGUAGGGAAUCUUCGGCGAUGGGGGCAACCCUGACCGAGCAACGCCGCGUGAGUGAAGAAGGUUGUCGGAUCGUAAAGCUCUGUUGUAAGUCAAGAACGGGUGUGAGAGUGGAAAGUUCACACUGUGACGGUAGCUUAACAGAAAGGGACGGCUAACUACGUG
rnacentral:rRNA from 1 species